CUACGGGGGGCAGCAGUGAGGAAUAUUGCACAAUGGGGGAACCCUGAUGCAGCAACGCCGCGUGGAGGAUGACGCAUUUCGGUGUGUAAACUCCUUUUAUAUGUCAAGAAAAUGGCGGUAGCAUAUGAAUAAGCACCGGCUAACUCCGUGCCAGCAGCCGCGGUAAUACGGAGGGUGCAAGCGUUACUCGGAAUCACUGGGCGUAAAGGACGCGUAGGCGGGCUUGUAAGUCAGGUGUGAAAUCCUACAGCUUAACUGUAGAACUGCACUUGAAACUACGAGCCUAGAGUAUGGGAGGGGGAGAUGGAAUUAGUGGUGUAGGGGUAAAAUCCGUAGAUAUCACUAGGAAUACCUAAAGCGAAGGCGAUCUCCUGGAACAUUACUGACGCUAAGGCGUGAAAGCGUGGGGAGCAAACAGGAUUAGAUACCCCUGUAGUC
rnacentral:rRNA from 1 species